AACGAACGCUGGCGGCAUGCCUAACACAUGCAAGUCGAACGAACCCUUCGGGUGAGUGGCGCACGGGUGCGUAACGCGUGGGAACCUGCCCUUAGGUUCGGAAUAACAGUGAGAAAUCGCUGCUAAUACCGGAUAAUGUCUUCGGACCAAAGAUUUAUCGCCUUUUGGAUGGGGCCCGCGUUGGAUUAGCCAGUUGGUGGGGUAAAGGCUCACCAAGGCGACGAUCCAUAACUGGUCUUAGAGGAUGAUCAGCCACACUGGGACUGAGGCACGGCCCAGACUCCUACGGGAGGCAGCAGUGGGGAAUAUUGGACAAUGGGCUAAAGCCUGAUCCAGCAAUGCCGCGUGAGUGAUGAAGGCCUUAGGGUGUAAGCNCUUUUACCAGGGAUGAUGAUGAC
rnacentral:rRNA from 1 species